UACGGAGGGUGCAAGCGUUGUUCGGAAUUAUUGGGCGUAAAGCGCGUGCAGGCGGUUGCUUAAGUCUGAUGUGAAAGCCCUGGGCUCAACCCGGGGAAGUGCAUUGGAAACUGGGCAACUUGAGUACGGGAGAGGAUAGUGGAAUUCCGAGUGUAGGGGUGAAAUCCGUAGAUAUUCGGAGGAACACCGGUGGCGAAGGCGGCUAUCUGGACCGAUACUGACGCUGAGACGCGAAAGCGUGGGGAGCAAACAGGAUUAGAACCGGUACCG
rnacentral:rRNA from 1 species